UACGUAGGGAGCAAGCGUUAUCCGGAUUCAUUGGGCGUAAAGCGCGCGUAGGCGGCUUGUUAAGUCAGGUGUCAAAUCCAGGGGCUCAACCCUUGUCCGCACCUGAAACUGGCAGGCUUGAGUUUGGUAGAGGAAGAUGGAAUUCCCAGUGUAGCGGUGAAAUGCGCAGAUAUUGGGAGGAACACCGAUGGCGAAGGCAGUCUUCUGGGCCAUAACUGACGCUGAGGUGCGAAAGCUAGGGGAGCAAACAGG
rnacentral:rRNA from 1 species